rnacentral:rRNA from 1 species
UCAUCUUCGGGGGUAGAGCACUGUUUCGGCUAGGGGGUCAUCCCGACUUACCAACCCGAUGCAAACUACGAAUACCGAAGAAUGUUAUCACGGGAGACACACGGCGGGUGCUAACGUCCGUCGUGAAGAGGGAAACAACCCAGACCGCCAGCUAAGGUCCCAAAGUCACAGUUAAGUGGGAAACGAUGUGGGAAGGCUCAGACAGCCAGGAUGUUGGCUUAGAAGCAGCCAUCAUUUAAAGAAAGCGUAAUAGCUCACUGGUCGAGUCGGCCUGCGCGGAAGAUGUAACGGGGCUAAACUGUGCACCGAAGCUGCGGCAGCGACACUAUGUGUUGUUGGGUAGGGGAGCGUUCUGUAAGCCGUUGAAGGUGUGUCGUGAGGCAUGCUGGAGGUAUCAGAAGUGCGAAUGCUGACAUAAGUAACGAUAAAGCGGGUGAAAAACCCGCUCGCCGGAAGACCAAGGGUUCCUGUCCAACGUUAAUCGGGGCAGGGUGAGUCGACCCCUAAGGCGAGGCCGAAAGGCGUAGUCGAUGGGAAACAGGUUAAUAUUCCUGUACUUGGUGUUACUGCGAAGGGGGGACGGAGAAGGCUAUGUUGGCCGGGCGACGGUUGUCCCGGUUUAAGCGUGUAGGUUUGCAGACCAGGUAAAUCCGGUCUGCUUCAAGACUGAGACGUGAUGACGAGGCACUACGGUGCUGAAGUAACAAAUGCCCUGCUUCCAGGAAAAGCCUCUAAGCAUCAGGUAACACGAAAUCGUACCCCAAACCGACACAGGUGGUCAGGUAGAGAAUACCAAGGCGCUUGAGAGAACUCGGGUGAAGGAACUAGGCAAAAUGGUGCCGUAACUUCGGGAGAAGGCACGCUGAUACGUAGGUGAAGCGGUUUACCCGUGGAGCUGAAAUCAGUCGAAGAUACCAGCUGGCUGCAACUGUUUAUUAAAAACACAGCACUGUGCAAACACGAAAGUGGACGUAUACGGUGUGACGCCUGCCCGGUGCCGGAAGGUUAAUUGAUGGGGUUAGCGCAAGCGAAGCUC